AGUCGAACGGCAGCAUGAUCUAGCUUGCUAGAUUGAUGGCGAGUGGCGAACGGGUGAGUAAUACAUCGGAACGUGCCCUGUAGUGGGGGAUAACUAGUCGAAAGAUUAGCUAAUACCGCAUACGACCUGAGGGUGAAAGUGGGGGACCGCAAGGCCUCAUGCUAUAGGAGCGGCCGAUGUCUGAUUAGCUAGUUGGUGGGGUAAAGGCCCACCAAGGCGACGAUCAGUAGCUGGUCUGAGAGGACGAUCAGCCACACUGGGACUGAGACACGGCCCAGACUCCUACGGGAGGCAGCAGUGGGGAAUUUUGGACAAUGGGGGCAACCCUGAUCCAGCAAUGCCGCGUGUGUGAAGAAGGCCUUCGGGUUGUAAAGCACUUUUGUCCUGGAAAGAAAUCGCACUUACUAAUAUUAGGUGUGGAUGACGGUACCGGAAGAAUAAGGACCGGCUAACUACGUGCCAGCAGCCGCGGUAAUACGUAGGGUCCAAGCGUUAAUCGGAAUUACUGGGCGUAAAGCGUGCGCAGGCGGUUGUGCAAGACCGAUGUGAAAUCCCCGGGCUUAACCUGGGAAUUGCAUUGGUGACUGCACGGCUAGAGUGUGUCAGAGGGGGGGUAGAAUUCCACGUGUAGCAGUGAAAUGCGUAGAGAUGUGGAGGAAUACCGAUGGCGAAGGCAGCCCCCCCUGGGAUAACACUGACGCUCAUGCACGAAAGCGUGGGGAGCAAACAGGAUUAGAUACCCUGGUAGUCCACGCCCUAAACGAUGUCAACUAGUUGUUGGGGAUUCAUUUCCUUAGUAACGUAGCUAACGCGUGAAGUUGACCGCCUGGGGGAGUACGGUCGCAAGAUUAAAACUCAAAGGAAUUGACGGGGACCCGCACAAGCGGUGGAUGAUGUGGAUUAAUUCGAUGCAACGCGAAAAACCUUACCUACCCUUGACAUGCCACUAACGAAGCAGAGAUGCAUUAGGUGCUCGGAAAGAGAAAGUGGACACAGGUGCUGCAUGGCCUGUCGUCAGCUCGCGUCGAUGAGAUGAUUGGGGCUUGAAGUCACGUCAACCGCAGCGCUAACCCUUGUCUCUAGUUAGAUCAUCGAUAAGGGCACUCUAGAGAGACUGCCGGUGACAAACCGGAGGAAGGUGGGGAUGACGUCAAGUCCUCAUGGCCCUUAUGGGUAGGGCUUCACACGUCAUACAAUGGUGCAUACAGAGGGUUGCCAAGCCGCGAGGUGGAGCUAAUCCCAGAAAAUGCAUCGUAGUCCGGAUCGUAGUCUGCAACUCGACUACGUGAAGCUGGAAUCGCUAGUAAUCGCGGAUCAGCAUGCCGCGGUGAAUACGUUCCCGGGUCUUGUACACACCGCCCGUCACACCAUGGGAGUGGGUUUUGCCAGAAGUAGUUAGCCUAACCGUAAGGAGGGCGAUUACCACGGCAGG
rnacentral:rRNA from 1 species